AGCUACGGUUCCUAAAAUUCCUCUUCAUUUGAAGUUUUAAAGAUUUAAUCUCUUAAAUGGCUUGAUAAUUCUUCCGAAAUGCUUUGAACUCAGUAAGCGAAACUAUACUUUGAGAAGAUUCCGGUUCUACGGGUGAUACAGGAACCUCAUUAGUUCGUCUAGACUACUGUCUGUUAAAGUAAUAUUAGUUUGCGGGUUCGUGUUAUUUCGUAUAGUAUAGUCUGUCUCAAUCUUCAUCGUGCUGACUUUUGACCGCAAUUAUGGAAGUUUCCUGCCGACGGCAACACAACUCGGGUGCUGUAGGUGCAACAUUUUCAGCUCUCACCUUUGUUUCCACAAAUUCUUUAUGGAGUUAAACAUGAAAUGAUAUGGAGGAAGACGUAAAACAGACAAGUUGCUUGAUGAGGCUGGUGUUUUGCGUAGCAAACGACUGUGGUAGUUUGCGCUAGCUGUGACAAUAAGACAACAGCAAGCAAUUUGGGACAAUUCCGUCUUCUGGACUAGUGUGUAGUAUGGUGAUGCGUUGUCCUUUAUUUGAAGGUGCUUUCGUCUGACUGUUUUGAGUGGAUUCAAUCCAUCCUUUGGAUUCAGUGUUGUGCGUAUCGAAACAUGUUUUAUUAAGGUAAAUUAUGGAUAUGUUGUCUAAUCUAUAUCCUUUAAUUUCAUCAAGGUAAUUAAAUCCCCAUUUGUGUAAUCUGUGUGAUUUCUUUACUACUUACUUUUUUUCUAUUUUGAGGUACUUAAAUUCCAUUUGACAAACAACUCUAUGGAGGGUGGCACGGCUUAUAUUUAUAUUUAUUUCAUCUUCUUCUACCUUCUUUUUCAGUUUAUCAAAGGUAAGAACAACUUCGCUUUGAUAAAGACAAUAUAUUUUUCUUCUUAUUAAGUCCUAAUUACUAUUGUCUGAGUUUAUCUUUUUGUUCAAUUCUCAACUAUUAAUUAUAUCCUUUAUCGACGAUAUUGGCGUUAGGCAGAUUUCUUUUAAAGUUUCAUACACAUUUUCACAACCGGUUUUGCUUAAAACGACAAAUGAAUUCGACGCGAUAUAGUUAUAUUCUCGAGACACACAGUAUAAACGAUUAUUCAACACUGCCACAAAUGGUCAACUCACAGAAAUAUAUUUGAAAGAAAGAAAUAUACCUUGCCUUGUCACUCAAGUAACUGUUCUGUUGUGACAUUCUCCGUUUCUUUCAGCAUAGAUGUUGCUAGGUGGAUGACCUGGUGGUGACUUAAUCGAAGUAAUACCAUGACCUUGAAAAAAAGAUAUAAACUCUGUAGACCUCUACCUGCCACUAACUCUACUGGUAAAUUAACUGCUGCAAAGGUUUCUCUUAAUUUAGACACCAAUUUAAUUUCUAACCAUUUAGAUUUUUUAUCAAAAAUGGGCAAAAGUGUAUGAUUAAAUGUGUGCAGAAAAUUCAUAAAAAUUCAGUAGAAAUUAUGAUAUGCUUGUGACCAGGGCAAAAGAGGUUUUGUGCCUGUUAAAUUUUGAUAAUUUUGACAGGACAAAUUUUAUGGUGUCAUUAUUACUAUUUGACCACCACUAGUAGGACCUAAUUAACAGUUUGGUGCGGACGAUGCAGUAUGUUGUCCAUGAAAGAGUUUAAGAGUGUCUUGUCUGAAUGCGGGAGGUAUCUCUACCCUAUUGCCAAUCAAGAUGCUGUUAUUAUCUAUAGAUAAUUCAUUUAAAAUAUUGCUUGAAUUUAUCAUCAUGUACUUCGCUCGGCCAUCCUAAUGAAAUAAAUUAUUUUAUUGUUCGUAGCUUUUUUUGUAUCUGCAUUCAGAGGUAUUUUAUUUAUUAAGUUAGAGGAAUAAAUGAAGUGCGGAAUUCUACUUGGUUAAGAAGAAGGUAAACCCGAUAAACCAUCAGUGACAACACCGCGAGCACCGUAAAAAAGGUCGUCUGCAAAGAAUUGAAGAAGCUUCAUUAUUCAUUUUCAUAUGUUUUUUCCUUUUUUUUGUUGUAAAAGUUAAUUAAGUUGUAAAAGUUAAAAAUAAAGUUAUCGAAAAAUACAGUCCACUCAAUCGAACAAGAAUCAGUGCAGCAAAUAACGUGGACCUACGUCAAAACCCACCAUUUUG